UGCUUGGCUUGUAUUUGUUAGCAGAUAAUGAAAAUCAUACCAGCAAGUCCUUCCAGAAGAAAACAAGGAAUAAUAGAAAAUGGUUUGGUUUGGGGUUUUAUUUUUCUCUCGUUUAUUUUUAAUAUUUUAUAUUAAAUGUUUCAUUUUAUAUUAACAUUUUGCACCAUUUUGCACCCAUAGCCAAGACUUGGUACAAUACUUGGUUUAUAAACCCCUCCCAGAAGUACCCAUUUCAUCAGAAUCACAAGCUACAUCUGAGUUUAACCAAGCUCAGUUUGGAUUGUUGGUUAAUAUGGUGAACAGAGAAGAGCUGGAGACUCCAGAUGGGCCUAAACCUGAAUGUUCCUCAGGUUCGUCAGUCCUUGGGUUGGCAAAAUGAAAAAGAAUUUACACAACGCAUCAGUGGAAGAAGAGAUCAGCUAUAUAAAAGUCAGCAACCUGCUCACCCUAUCCAGGGGUCUGUACUCAGUCACCAGGAUGGCCCUGUCUGGUUGGAAAAUACCUGUACCUGUCCCUGUGCCACUCAUUAAACCACUGAAUGAUAUGGAAGAAUUUUGAAAACAUGCAAGAUCCAGACUAAGUGGAAUCAUAUUUACUAGCAUUAUUUUAGCAGGCUGACAUUGGUCCCUAAGCCUGCAGCUGGGACAUGGGACUGAGUCCUUUCUGAGACCUAAGUGAGCCUAAUUCUGACAAGAUUUUAUGUAGCAGUUGUAUUGUGUUGGGUGUUUGCAGAAGGGUGCAUCUAACCCCAAAUGCAAUCCUCCAUGUUCUACAGAAAGGUAUUAGACCAGUGACAGCAGCUUAUUACUGAUUAAGACUAAAGUGUGUGAGUAGGUGUGUGCAUGUAGGUGGGGAGAAGUUGUCAGAGUCAAUACACAUCUGCUUUUUUGCCUUUCAUCAACAUUUCAGUUUUCAAAAAAAGUAAUCAGUGCUGUGUUUGUGUUUUGGCCAUCUUAUUCUAAUGCACUAGCACAAUUUUGCUGUUAGUUUGAACCAGUUAUACACAGUGUUGAGCAAAACUAACCUUUUGCAGCAUUCAAAGUUAUACAUUUCUUGCUUUUAAUCUGAAAAAAAGUGUUUUUUUGUAAGACUGUUUAAAAUUUUGAAUUUAGAGUCAGGGGAGUAAGAGAUCAGUCUUUAUGAGGUGAUGGGCUCUGGUGAUAUCAUAUUGUCAUUAAGCUAUCCACAACUCCAGAGCAUCUGGGACUGUUAUGUCUCCUUAUUGCAGCUAGGAAUGCAAAUUUUGGAAACCCGGCUUUUCAUUCUUCUUUCUUUCUUGAAACAUGUCAUUUGAGAUGGCAAGUCAGUUGUGUGCUGAGAGGCAGGUAAUUCCAGCUGUUGAAGCUAUUAGCAAAGGCUGCUGUGGUGCUGUGGUACAUAUCCCUCUACAUAUAUGUCGGGGAGAAGAUCAUCCAUCUGGAGAGUCACCUUACGGAGAGACGCUGUACCUUUCUUCCUCCACCUUUACUCACAGUAAAUUUUUGUAUUUCAAAAGUGUGUGCUACCAUGUUGGCCAAGAAGGAGUAAUAAUACAGGUACCCAUAAAUUAAACCCUUGUCAUGUAAUAACCUUUCUUUCAUUAAGAACCAGGCCCUCAUAUUUAAAGUAGGUGGCAAAUGGAUGUUUUCUGUUCACUGCGACUAUUAAAACAGCUUUUUACACUGA